rnacentral:lncRNA from 1 species
GAUCUAUCCCAUAAUCAGCCACCAAACUGAAGAAGUUUUAAAGUUCUGGUCUUUGGAUCCAAUGUCCUGAGUCUAGCAGGUGGUGUGACAUGGGCAUGGAGAAUUUUAAAAUGCCUCCAAAGAUCCUACUACUGCCAUUCUAGGGCACCAGAUAAUUCCUCACUGCAUUCUAAAUGUGUAUCCUUAUACCCACAGGAAAGUAUAGCUCUGAGCCCUCUACACAGAAAGUUUCUUUUCAGUAGACAGAGACCAUUACAGAAGCCCACAACUGGUCAAAAUGUAGGAACCAACUGAUUGUGGUGUACCCAGCCUCAGUGGAUACAUCUACUGCUAAGGCUUAGGAACAUCGUGGGAAAAGGAGAAGAAAGAUUAUAUGAGUCAGAGAAUCAGGAAGGCUGAUGUCUCCUAGCAUGGCAGAAAAACUUCAUCCAUGACAUCUCAACAAUAUGGUUUGGGAAAUAAGGCCUAGGCCAGGACAAUAUCAAAAGACGUGAUAACAUGGAAGGGAGUGAUUUCGUGGGGCUCCACUACUAGACAAGAACUGUAGGAAACUAAAGACUACUAAAAGAAAAAUAGUCUUGCCCAGAAUUGGGCCCCUAAUUGGUUGGUUAUCCAACACCAACUGGUCAGCCCUAAAACAAACAACGAAAACAGACUCAGCAAAUUAUAUAUUUAGGCACACUUGUGUGUGUAUGUGUGUGUGUCUGUGUGUCUGUGUGUAACA